rnacentral:rRNA from 1 species
AACGCGAAGAACCUUACCUGGUCUUGACAUCCACGGAAGUUUUCAGAGAUGAGAAUGUGCCUUCGGGAACCGUGAGACAGGUGCUGCAUGGCUGUCGUCAGCUCGUGUUGUGAAAUGUUGGGUUAAGUCCCGCAACGAGCGCAACCCUUAUCCUUUGUUGCCAGCGGUCCGGCCGGGAACUCAAAGGAGACUGCCAGUGAUAAACUGGAGGAAGGUGGGGAUGACGUCAAGUCAUCAUGGCCCUUACGACCAGGGCUACACACGUGCUACAAUGGCGCAUACAAAGAGAAGCGACCUCGCGAGAGCAAGCGGACCUCAUAAAGUGCGUCGUAGUCCGGAUUGGAGUCUGCAACUCGACUCCAUGAAGUCGGAAUCGCUAGUAAUCGUGGAUCAGAAUGCUGCGGUGAAUACGUUCCCGGGUCUUGUACACACGC